AUAUUGCUAAUCCUCUUUUCUACGUUUAAUUUCGAUGCGAAAAUGGGAAAAAAAGGUUCGUUAUUUUUAGCAUACCUUUAACUUUAGUUACGGUUAAGCGAAAAGAAUCAUUCAUUAUCUUUGGGGGUGUAGGAACGUCGUGGUGCUUGUUGAUUGUUUUGCCAUUUUGCGGUUGCAAAUGAUGGCACAGGGAAAUUUCGAGGGACAAAAUUUAGGAACUCUGGCAGUCUUAAAGGCCACAAAAGAAUCGUUUGGGUAGACGGGUGUAGUCCUAACCAAAAAGUUAAGCCCGUGGAAAAUGGACAAUGGCAAAGACACUUCUUUGGCUUUCGGUUGGGCGGAUGUGUUCGACACUUUUUGGUCUACUUCCUUUUUUUAAAUUUUAUCAUUGCUAAGGCUUUAGCCAAAUAAUACCCUUUCGUAAAAAAAUCAUAUCUUUAACAACUUUUAUUUACAAGUAUUUACAACCAACAUUAAUGACAAUCGCACUGGGAAUUUUUUUGUUAGCUUUAAUUUUUUUUAUAUUUUGCAAUGCUGGCAUUUAAAAACAGCCGACAUUUCAGUGUGGAAAUUACAAUUUUUCGGCUAUAAUAUAGCGAUGAAAAAAUAGUUUUUAAAGACGAACACGUUUAAUAUAGAGUUAGUUUACAUCUUGAAACAAUAUGAGCUUCGCUAAUUUUCUUUACUUCAUUGCGGUUAUAGUUCAAGGAUGUAGGGCUCCGGCUUGUUUUAGCAGGAUGAAAUUGGAACCGGAUAAUUUAAUCUCACCUUAGUGUGUUUUAGAUUUAUUACUUCCUAUAAUAAAUUUCCUAUAUACAUUUGCCUAAAAUUUACUGCAAAAAAAAAGUCUUCAUUUUUAUUUAAAAGUA